UUUGAUCAUGGCUCAGAUUGAACGCUGGCGGCAUGCCUUACACAUGCAAGUCGAACGGCAGCAUGAUCUAGCUUGCUAGAUUGAUGGCGAGUGGCGAACGGGUGAGUAAUACAUCGGAACGUGCCCUGUAGUGGGGGAUAACUAGUCGAAAGAUUAGCUAAUACCGCAUACGACCUGAGGGUGAAAGUGGGGGACCGCAAGGCCUCAUGCUAUAGGAGCGGCCGAUGUCUGAUUAGCUAGUUGGUGAGGUAAAGGCUCACCAAGGCGACGAUCAGUAGCUGGUCUGAGAGGACGAUCAGCCACACUGGGACUGAGACACGGCCCAGACUCCUACGGGAGGCAGCAGUGGGGAAUUUUGGACAAUGGGGGCAACCCUGAUCCAGCGAUGCCGCGUGUGUGAAGAAGGCCUUCGGGUUGUAAAGCACUUUUGUCCGGAAAGAAAUCGCACUUACUAAUAUUAGGUGUGGAUGACGGUACCGGAAGAAUAAGGACCGGCUAACUACGUGCCAGCAGCCGCGGUAAUACGUAGGGUCCAAGCGUUAAUCGGAAUUACUGGGCGUAAAGCGUGCGCAGGCGGUUGUGCAAGACCGAUGUGAAAUCCCCGGGCUUAACCUGGGAAUUGCAUUGGUGACUGCACGGCUAGAGUGUGUCAGAGGGGGUAGAAUUCCACGUGUAGCAGUGAAAUGCGUAGAGAUGUGGAGNNAUACCGAUGNCGAAGCAGCCCCCUGGNAUAACACUGACGCUCAUGCACGAAAGCGUGGGAGCAAACAGGAUUAGAUACCCUGGUAGUCCACGCCCUAAACGAUGUCAACUAGUUGUUGGGGAUUCAUUUCCUUAGUAACGUAGCUAACGCGUGAAAGUUGACCGCCUGGGGAGUACGGUCGCAAGAUUAAAACUCAAAGGAAUUGACGGGGACCCGCACAAGCGGUGGAUGAUGUGGAUUAAUUCGAUGCAACGCGAAAAACCUUACCUACCCUUGACAUGCCACUAACGAAGCAGAGAUGCAUUAGGUGCUCGAAAGAGAAAGUGGACACAGGUGCUGCAUGGCUGUCGUCAGCUCGUGUCGUGAGAUGUUGGGUUAAGUCCCGCAACGAGCGCAACCCUUGUCUCUAGUUGCUACGAAAGGGCACUCUAGAGAGACUGCCGGUGACAAACCGGAGGAAGGUGGGAAUGACGUCAAGUCCUCAUGGCCCUUAUGGGUAGGGCUUCACACGUCAUACAAUGGUGCAUACAGAGGGUUGCCAAGCCGCGAGGUGGAGCUAAUCCCAGAAAAUGCAUCGUAGUCCGGAUCGUAGUCUGCAACUCGACUACGUGAAGCUGGAAUCGCUAGUAAUCGCGGAUCAGCAUGCCGCGGUGAAUACGUUCCCGGGUCUUGUACACACCGCCCGUCACACCAUGGGAGUGGGUUUUGCCAGAAGUAGUUAGCCUAACCGCAAGGGGGGCG
rnacentral:rRNA from 1 species